rnacentral:tRNA from 1 species
GGGAAGGCGGCUCAGUUGGUAGAGCGCUUGCCUCGCAUGCAUGAGGCCCUGGGUUCGAUUCCUCAGCACCCCA